CCUACGGGUGGCUGCAGUGGGGAACAUUGGACAAUGGGGGCAACCCUGAUCCAGCCAUGCCGCGUGUGUGAAGAAGGCCCUCGGGUUGUAAAGCACUUUCAGUGAGGAAGAACGCCUGGUGGUUAAUACCCAUCAGGAAAGACAUCACUCACAGAAGAAGCACCGGCUAACUCCGUGCCAGCAGCCGCGGUAAUACGGAGGGUGCGAGCGUUAAUCGGAAUUACUGGGCGUAAAGCGCGCGUAGGUGGCUUGAUAAGCCGGUUGUGAAAGCCCCGGGCUCAACCUGGGAACGGCAUCCGGAACUGUCAAGCUAGAGUGCAGGAGAGGAAGGUAGAAUUCCCGGUGUAGCGGUGAAAUGCGUAGAGAUCGGGAGGAAUACCAGUGGCGAAGGCGGCCUUCUGGACUGACACUGACACUGAGGUGCGAAAGCGUGGGUAGCAAACAGGAUUAGAUACCCCUGUAGUC
rnacentral:rRNA from 1 species